rnacentral:rRNA from 1 species
UAGUAGUUGACUCCUGGCUCAAGACGACGCUGGCGGCGUGCUUAACACAUGCAAGUCGACGGAGCACCCCUGAAGGAGUUUUCGGACAACGGAUGGGAAUGCUUAGUGGCGGACUGGUGAGUAACGCGUGAGGAACCUGCCUUCCAGAGGGGGACAACAGUUGGAAACGACUGCUAAUACCGCAUGAUGCGUUGGAGCCGCAUGACUCUGACGCCAAAGAUUUAUCGCUGGAAGAUGGCCUCGCGUCUGAUUAGCUAGUUGGUGAGGUAACGGCCCACCAAGGCGACGAUCAGUAGCCGGACUGAGAGGUUGGCCGGCCACAUUGGGACUGAGAUACGGCCCAGACUCCUACGGGAGGCAGCAGUGGGGAAUAUUGGGCAAUGGGCGCAAGCCUGACCCAGCAACGCCGCGUGAAGGAAGAAGGCUUUCGGGUUGUAAACUUCUUUUAAGGGGAAGAGCAGAAGACGGUACCCCUUGAAUAAGCCACGGCUAACUACGUG